rnacentral:lncRNA from 1 species
AAUGCACCUUCCUGACACUGUUCUCUCCAUCUCGGGCUUUGCUUUUUCCCUGAUUCCCUCCCUCAAAAAGGAGCUGACUGACAAAACUUCGGGAGGGGCUGAGGGUUUAAAAGGCAGAGCAUCCAUUUUGUAAACCAGCAUGUCGCUGACAGUCACAGUAACAACCAGCACUGUAAAUUUUCCUUAUUCAGUCUCCUGUUGUAUGUUUUUGUUAAAGUUUAAUAAUUGUGUAAAUUUUGAAAAGUGAGGGUCAUUUGUCACAAGUUCUAAGGACAGUCCAAAAGUCUCACCUUCAGGCCAGUUUAUGAUGAUUUCAGAGAGCCCAGGGUGAUUUGGAUUUCCCAAUUGAGCUUGCUGUAGAAUAUUGCAAAAAAAACAAAUAUAGGUAUUGGCUUUCACAUUUAUGUACUAACAUUUGUUUUGGAAGCGAUUAAGUGAUCACAGAAAUCCCGAUAGAGUACAAUUUGUAAUUACUGCAUUUGAUACAGUAUAAUCUGUCAGUUUAUGUAUGCACUCUAUAGCUUUUAUAAAAACAGGUGUAAUAGAUACUAUCUUAGAUCAUACCAUAAUAGAGACUGUAUUAUCUUGGAAUGAUUGUUUCAGAAAAGAGUGUAAAAUAAUCCAGUGAGUUCCCAGAUUCAGGGACUGUCUUAUCUAAAAGACAAGAUGACAGAAACAGCAACCAGAGAAUUAAAAAAAACCCAAAUUACUUGGUUUUGCCAUUUAUGUGGUUUGUUCUAUUUUCACUACCAGAUAAUAAAGGUUAAUUAUCAAGAAUAAGGCAUAAAAACAAGUCAAAGCCAGUAACAAAAAAAAGGAGCCCCAAAAAAAACUUGGUCACAACCAUCCUCUGUGAAAAGUACUUCCUUUAUUAAUGGCAGAGACUUGUCCUUUGCAGCCCCAGCCCAGCGCUGGCACUGGGGAUGAAGAGGCACUGAGGUGACCCUGAGAGGAAGUGCAAGGCACAGGGCGCAGCUGAGGAAGGACAGCGCUGUGCUGGGCUCAGAGGUGAAGCUGGCACUGCCCAGUGGAGAAGGUCCUUUGUGCAGCCCCUGUUACAGGGGAGCUUGGGCCUUGCUGCAGAGAUACGGCCGCUCAUUGGAGCAGUUGUCACUCUUGAAUCUCCUAUCAGCCAGGUACACACACUCGGAAUUGCCAAGGACAGGAACCCUGCAGGGAGGAGCAGAGGCAGCGCUGGCUGCCAGGGGAAGCCCUUGUGCCCCUGUGCCCCCAGGCCCUGCCCGGCUCCCCGGCACUCACCGGGAGCUGUAGCUGCUGCCGUCCCCCCA